rnacentral:tRNA from 1 species
GGUUCCAUAGAGUAGUGGUUAGCACGUCUGCUUUACAUGCAGAAGGUCCUAGGUUCAAGCUCCGGUGGAGCCA